GGCUUGCAGUAUGAACAACACUCACUUCCCUGUCAUACAGACUUCAGCAAAUGACUUGAGCUUUUCAUAGUCACAUCGUCCUCUUACAGAAGCAGGGAAAUAGCAUGUGCCUUAAACACCUCAGAUGGACAUUCGAAUGCUGAACUAAGCUGACAGAUGUUGGGUGUAAAAAAGUCACAAUAAAUAAAUGCUGAGACAGAAAAGCAAAGGCAGAUGGGGAAGGAAAGAGGUAGAAGGAUAAUAGAGAGCCAACCUAGCCUGGUCACUGUGGGAGAACAAUAAGGCAUGAAUGCUAGUUACUUGCUCUUUCUCUCCAUGUGAGAUACCAGGCAUCAAGCAGAAGCUGACUGGAAAGGCAGCUGAGAAAGGAGCAUAGCAGAAGAACUGCGCUGGAAGAACGUGAGCUGGGGAGAGCACCCUGCAGAUCCAGGGCUCUGUCUGAGAAACUAAUUUCAUGCCAUCUGGGAAAAAAUAUGGAAAUUUUCUAUUAGCUAAUUUGGGACUGUGAGCAGGCAAGAUAAUUUAUUGAAAAGGCAUCACUGUGGGGGAGUUCUGCUGGUUUGUAGGCUUCUCCAUAAUCUACCCAAGAGAAGACAGCAACCCAAAUCAGCACAGUAAGAGGAGAACUUUCUGAGAAGUCCAACAGUCAAACUUCAAAGGCUGUGAACAAAGUUUCUGGAUGGACUGAAUGCACACUGAGAAACAGAACCUCCAGGAAUGACUCCAUGGACCCAAGCAGUGGCUUAGGACAGUGUUUACUUAGCACAUGUAAGGUCUGAGGUUCAAGCCCUGUACUGGAACGAAGCAGUAUUGUAUCAUGUGAAUGGAAAGAAGCAGCCAGAGGGGGCAGCCGGCCAUGUGAAGAAAGAAAAGUCAAUUGGGGACUCUGCAAUCUUUUGUCUCCAACUUGACACUGGACAUAACCUCAAAACUGCUAUACAAGACUUGCUCAGAAAGACAGAGAGACACUGGCAAGAAUGUCAAAGUUUCUCUCUAGCAAUUUAAAGCUGUUCUUUGUUCUCUAUGCAAGCCACAUAGUUCAUGUACAAAGAAUCAGGCUAUUUGUGUGUGAGCAGGAGGCCCUUGAGACUUAGAAGCCAGUCACACACCCAAGAGUGAGGGUCUUGGAACAAUUACUUACACAAGUAUUGGUGUAUCUCCAGAAAAGACACAGGAAAAAGAGCCUAACUCAGAAAAGCUAAAGCUGGCUUCAAUGGAUACAUUGUAACUCAAUCACAUCCCAGGUUCUGCAUGGGAUUUACUCACAGAGGUCAUUUUUACCAUUGGAAGCAUCAUUCCUAUAACAAAGAUAUGGGGGAGUGAAUCUAAGUUAUCCAGCACCCUGUAUGGCUUUUCAGAGAGGACUGAUUUUGAAUGUCUGACAGCCAAGAGGGAUGGUUGGUGGACUCAGGUUAUGAGAAUAUAAAGAAGCUAGAUAUUUAAAUCUAUUUAUAAUGGUGAUCCCCAAAUAAUAACAGAACACACCAUUUAAUUAUUUCUCCU
rnacentral:lncRNA from 1 species